CCCUGGUUGGCUGAGUUGGUAGAGCACUCCAGUGGAAUUGGACAGGUUUCUGGUUUGAUACCAGGACCAGGCG
rnacentral:tRNA from 1 species